CAGACCCGUACGGGUGGUAACUACUGACAGGAGGUCCAGUGCAAGCACAGAGGCAGGAUUUCCUUUGGAGGGCAGUUACAGCCCACUCGGGGGGGAACAGGGCAGGACAAGGGUAUGAAGGGGGAAAGUUUGCUUCUGAGGGUUACCUGCUGCUUGCCCUCCAUUGGCAACAGGGGCACAUAUGUUGAUGGGUGCCCAAGGCUGACUCACCAAGGGGCAUCUGGGUUGGUGCUGGGGACUUCUAGAUGCUGGUGUUUAUUUGCUCCCUGGUUUCCCGUCCAUCAGGGAGCAAAGGGACAUUUCCAUAAAACUCCACAGUGGUGCCUGUGUAUAUUUGAAGCCUCUUAGCUCCUCUGUUGGCAUACACACAGGUGCCUGAGGUGGGACACAUGGGCUGGAACAUCACAGAAGGAGUCCCAACAAGGACAGAGUGAAGCACAAACAUGAGGGAGCAAUUAAAUGAGGUGUCACACGAACCACCUUGCAACUUCCCAUUCAGUGGCUGGACACAGUGCUAAAGCCCUGCAGAAAUGGAAACCAAAUGGUUUCUCUCUCUAAGUACAUGAAGAUUUGCAUGGAGUUGUGCCCAUAUCUUUGUGCUCUGGCCGUCCAGGAAAUCUGAAAGGCUAGAUAAGGAAGUCAUGAAAAUGUAUAACACUGAGAGCAUGUUAAGGGGAUGGUUUACAGCCACGGUAAUACAAUAUGAAACUGGAGCUUGCAGGGUUCACUGGAGAAAUGCACAUUUGGCAGCAUGAAUGAAAAUGUUCUCUUUGCUGCUGCCCCUCAUGUCUACCCAAAAUAAAAUGCUGCUCCCAGAACCUGUAUGCAAUAAAUGAGUAUUCUCAAAGGGAAUGUUGCCAUAUCUGGUAGAAGCAGAAACACCUCUGUAGAAACACCAACUCUCAGAAUCCCCUUCUGUACCUAUGCUAAGCAUUUUCUCUUUCAGAGCUAGCUAUCCAGCCCCUACCAAUGCUCAUAACUGUAAACAGGACUGAAUUGCUGCUGGACAUUUCAUUAUUCAGAGACAUAUCUACAUGAGAUAGCUAGUAAUUUUUCCUUUAACCCUACAAGAGAUCAAAUGGCAGCACAUUCCUCUGAGAAGCUGAUAAGGCUUGCUCAAGGAGGUGCAUGAGAGGAAAAGGAAGACUGAGGGAUGACUGUUACUAUCUACAUCACACUAGUGGUUAGAAAUCCCAGACAGAAUCAGGCCUCCGCUAUGCUAGAUUAUGUACACUUACACAGGAUAGGAAAAGUUGUAGUCUGGAAAUUGAAGCUUAAACAGACAAAAGGUGAGAGGAGAAAAAGGUAUAAAGAGAUGAAAUACCAUGCCCAAGA